CUCCUANNGGGAGGCAGCAGUGAGGAAUAUUGGGCAAUGGGCGAAAGCCUGACCCAGCCACGCCGCGUGUGUGAUGAAGGCCUUCGGGUCGUAAAGCACUGUGGGGAGAGACGAAACAGCGCAUCAGGAAAUGGUUGCGCCUUGACGGUACCUCCUUAGCAAGCACCGGCUAACUCUGUGCCAGCAGCCGCGGUAAUACAGAGGGUGCAAACGUUGCUCGGAUUUACUGGGCGUAAAGCGCGUGUAGGCGGACUCGCAAGUCGGUUGUGAAAUCCCUGGGCUCAACCUAGGAACUGCAUCCGAAACUGCUUGUCUUGAGUAAUGGAGAGGGUGGCGGAAUUCCCGGUGUAGAGGUGAAAUUCGUAGAUAUCGGGAGGAACAUCAGUGGCGAAGGCGGCCACCUGGACAUUUACUGACGCUGAGACGCGAAAGCGUGGGGAGCAAACAGGAUUAGAUACCCUGGUAGUCCACGCCGUAAACGAUGAGAACUAGGUGCAGCGGAUAUUGA
rnacentral:rRNA from 1 species